AUUGAACGCUGGCGGCAUGCCUAACACAUGCAAGUCGAACGGUAACAGGCCCUUGGGUGCUGACGAGUGGCGGACGGGUGAGUAAUGCUUAGGAAUCUGCCUAGUAGUGGGGGAUAACCCGGGAAACUCGGCUAAUACCGCAUACGCCCUACAGGGGAAAGCGGGGGACUUUCGGCCUCGCGCUAUUAGAUGAGCCUAAGUCCGAUUAGCUAGUUGGUAGGGUAAUGCCUACCAAGGCGACGAUCGGUAGCUGGUCUGAGAGGACGACCAGCCACACUGGGACUGAGGACACGGCCCACGACUCCUACGGGAGGCAGCAGUGGGGAUAUUGGACAAUGGCGCAANCCUGAUCCAGCGAUGCCGCGUGUGUGAA
rnacentral:rRNA from 1 species